GCGCGAAAUUUUUUCGAUAGCUGGUCAAGCGUGAUUUUUUCACGAUAAUUAUUAUUGAGAUAAACAAGCACAUCCUUAAUUAAUACAUCUUUUUUAAUGUAGCCUUGUUCAGAACGAUAGGCAUUUUAUGCGAGCGUGACGGCGCGAGCAGGUGCGAAAGCAGGUCAUAGUGAUCCGGUGGUUCUGAAUGGAAGGGCCAUCGCUCAACGGAUAAAAGGUACUCCGGGGAUAACAGGCUGAUACCGCCCAAGAGUU
rnacentral:rRNA from 1 species